CAGUCGCCGCGGGAAUACGAAGGGUGCAAGCGUUACUCGGAAUUACUGGGCGUAAAGCGUACGUAGGUGGUGGUUUAAGUCCGUUGUGAAAGCCCUGGGCUCAACCUGGGAAUUGCAGUGGAUACUGGGUCACUAGAGUGUGGUAGAGGAUAGUGGAAUUUCCGGUGUAGCAGUGAAAUGCGUAGAGAUCGGAAGGAACAUCUGUGGCGAAGGCGACUAUCUGGGCCAACACUGACACUGAGGCACGAAAGCGUGGGGAGCAAACAGGAUUAGAUACCCCCGUAGUCCCUGUCUCUUAUAC
rnacentral:rRNA from 1 species